AAUCUGUGUUUUAAAAAAAAAUUAAAAAAGGUCCUCUGAAAGAGGAAGGAAAAGGGGCUCUCGGAGCUCUGGCCAAGUCUCCGUCAUCAAGCUGUCCAUGCGCUUUCAGCGCCCACGCGCCACCCUUUUCGCCGUUGUACCCGAUCUUCAGAGGUUAGAGACCUCGAUUUUUGACACAAAAUGAAAGGUAAAACCCUUUUUCGCACUUUAAAACUGUUUAUUAACUAUUGAUGUAUGUAUAUGCUUUGAACAUGCAAAACAAAAAGUAGAAGAUUCACCUCUUUAAAAAAAUUGCUUGUAUUUGCUUUUUUUUGCCCUUUUUCUAUUUGUAUCGUCUACAGGUUACAAAAGGGGCUUUUAUAGCCACUGUUUCUAUUACAUUUUGGGAAAGAAAUCUUUUCUUUCCAUAUCUAUUUUGUUCGUUUGCUGCUGCUUCUUUCCUUCUUUUGCAGGUAACGCCGAAAAAUUCGGCGGUGAUGGAGGCUUGACGAUGGUGGUGACGAACCAGGUACUGACUGCACACUGACUUUCGGCGCUGAUGGAGGGUUGCUGGAACGAUGGGAACUGAAGUGGCGUGAAUCUUGGGCUGACUGCGAUGCUGCGGCGCUAGGGUUUCCCAAGAAACCCUAAGUCUCUUGAUUCUUCAAGUUUUGGCUUUGUUGGGCUACUGCUUAUUGGGUUUGGGUGUAAACAGGUUUUGGGUAGUUUAGCUGGGUCAUGGGUGUAACGGGUUAUUGGGUUAGUUUAGUGUGUCAUGGGUAGGACUAGUCUACUAGGCUUUGGGUUAAUGUGGUUGGGCCUGUAAAUGGACUAUAAUAAAAUAAACAUUUGUUUUUUUUUUAUUUUUUGUUUUUGGGUUUUAUUUAAUUAUGGGCCCGGACAAAAAAUAGGUUCUACAGAUAUUAUAUUUCUUUUUAAUUGUGUAUCAUGCAUCAUUUCUUAAUUAUUACUAUGUAUGUUUGUAUGUUUUGCUUAUCCAUCUUCAAUAUAAGCUGUGUAUCUUUGUAUAUAUGAUGUUAUGUAAUCUUAAACAUGUAUGUAUCUAG
rnacentral:lncRNA from 1 species